UGGGACAAGACAUUGUAUUGUUGUAGCAGCAAGAGAUCCCAUUCCUGCGAAAAUGACAGUCUCUGUGCCAGAGAUUAAUCAAGGAACAACUGUUGGCACACAAUUAUAUACUGUAAAUGCUGAUUUCUACGAUGUGGCAGAAUUGUUUAGCCCAGUUUAGCAGUAUCUCUUUCAAUAAUAUCCCCAGUACAACAUCCAUGUUUUGAAGUGAUAUUCAAUAUGGGGAAUAAUGGUUCUCCACUGGAAACCGAUCCUAUUUCUAAUUUUAGAAUUGGUCAGUUUAAUGUUAUACUGUCAAGGAAUUUUAGAGAGGCACAUGUUGCUCUUCGUGGGAAAAGAACAAUGGAUCCACCCACAAAUGACAUUAGGGUUCCUAUACAUUAU
rnacentral:sRNA from 1 species